AGUGGGGUUAAGGUUGUUCGGGCAACCAGGAACCAUUAGUUACGUCGCGUGCACCCCCCCCCCCUUCUCUCUGGCGGGCUGGGGCGAAACUAGUUCCUGGUGUCCGAUUUGUUAGUUUCUACUCCUGGUAAUAUUGACCUUACCUGGUGUGGGUUGAAGUUUGGAGAGUCACUUCACCUCCACUCUUCUCCUAAUCAGCUCUGUUCCUGGCGUGGUCUUCCAGGAUAGACGCCAGAUAAAGGAGCAAGACGUGUUAAUAAUACUUAUUAACAAUAUUCUACUACUACCGGCCCUUACCUAUUCUACUUGUGCUCCAUCCAAGUGGUAGGAGAUUCCAGAACAUCGGAUUGUUACCAUCUGCCCCAGGAUAACCCACAUAAAUAACAUCAGAGGAACUAUCCAGGGCCAUACCUACUCCUGCCCAACUAAAAGAAACUGAAGGCCAAUUUUUUUUAUUAUAUUUAAAUUUUAAGUAAAAUUCUCAAAAAUCA